AAGGAAUAUUGGACAAUGGUGGAAACACUGAUCCAGCCAUGCCGCGUGAAGGAUGACGGCCCUAUGGGUUGUAAACUUCUUUUGUACGGGAAAAAACCUCUUUACGUGUAAAGAGCUGAUUGUACUGUAAGAAUAAGGAUCGGCUAACUCCGUGCCAGCAGCCGCGGUAAUACGGAGGAUCCAAGCGUUAUCCGGAUUCAUUGGGUUUAAAGGGUGCGUAGGCGGAAUGAUAAGUCAGUGGUGAAAGCCUGCAGCUUAACUGCAGAACUGCCAUUGAUACUGUCAAUCUUGAGUACAUUUGAUGUGGGCGGAAUGUGUCAUGUAGCGGUGAAAUGCUUAGAUAUGACACAGAACACCGAUUGCGAAGGCAGCUCACAAAACUGUAACUGACGCUGAGGCACGAAAGCGUGGGUAUCAAAC
rnacentral:rRNA from 1 species